UACGUAGGGUGCAAGCGUUAAUCGGAAUUACUGGGCGUAAAGCGUGCGCAGGCGGUUUUGUAAGUUUGUCGUGAAAUCCCCGGGCUUAACCUGGGAAUUGCGAUGAAGACUGCAAGGCUAGAAUCUGGCAGAGGGGGGUAGAAUUCCACGUGUAGCAGUGAAAUGCGUAGAGAUGUGGAGGAACACCGAUGGCGAAGGCAGCCCCCUGUGUCAAGAUUGACGCUCAUGCACGAAAGCGUGGGGAGCGAACAGG
rnacentral:rRNA from 1 species